GGCCGCGGUAUCCUAACCGCGCGAAGGUAGCAUAAUCACUUGUUCUUUAAAUGGGGACUCGUAUCAACGGCAUCACGAGGGUUAUACUGUCUCCUCUUUUUGAUCAGUGAAAUUGAUCUUCCCGUGAAGAAGCGGGAAUACUUAUAUAAGACGAGAAGACCCCAUGGAGCUUUAAACCAAAUAGCAACUUAACCAUAUAUUGCCCAAUAAUUUUAAGCCCUUGCUACAAGGUUUUUGGUUGGGGUGACCGCGGAGUAAAGCACAUCCUCCACGACGGAAAGACUAUAAUCUUUAUUUAAGAACUACAAUUCUAGAAAUUAGUAUACUAACGUUUACUGACCCGACAAUCGAUCAACGGAACAAGUUACCCUGGGGAUAACAGCGCAAUCUACUUCGAGAGCCCAUAUCGACAAGUAGGCUUACGACCUCGAUGUUGGAUCAGGGUAUCCCAGUGGUGCAGCCGCUACUGAAGGUUCGUUUGUUCAACGAUUAAAACCCUACGUGACU
rnacentral:rRNA from 1 species